rnacentral:rRNA from 1 species
GAUGAACGCUGGCGGCGUGCCUAAUACAUGCAAGUCGAGCGAACAGACGAGGAGCUUGCUCCUUUGACGUUAGCGGCGGACGGGUGAGUAACACGUAGGUAACCUACCUAUAAGACUGGGAUAACUUCGGGAAACCGGAGCUAAUACCGGAUAAUAUUUCGAACCGCAUGGUUCGAUAGUGAAAGAUGGCUUUGCUAUCACUUAUAGAUGGACCUGCGCCGUAUUAGCUAGUUGGUAAGGUAACGGCUUACCAAGGCAACGAUACGUAGCCGACCUGAGAGGGUGAUCGGCCACACUGGAACUGAGACACGGUCCAGACUCCUACGGGAGGCAGCAGUAGGGAAUCUUCCGCAAUGGGCGAAAGCCUGACGGAGCAACGCCGCGUGAGUGAUGAAGGUCUUCGGAUCGUAAAACUCUGUUAUUGGGGAAGAACAAACGUGUAAGUAGCUGUGCACGUCUUGACGGUACCUAAUCAGAAAGCCACGGCUAACUACGUG